rnacentral:lncRNA from 1 species
GAAAAGAGGAAAUAAAGUCUAUGUCCCCCAGUUUCCUCAGACUGGCAGUGUGAGGAGCUGAUGCCUCCCAAAGGACACAGCACCGGAGUGGGAUUACGGACAUCUCUCCAUCACUCUCAUCAUCUGUUCAUGCCCUUAUAGUUUUUUAUACCAUCUAAACACAGAUACACACAUACACAGAGACACACACACACAGAGGCACA